UACUAUACUGAUAAAUAUAUAUAUAUAUAUAAAAUUCUUAGACUAUUAAUAGAUAUAUUCUUUAAAUUCGAAGAAUUUGGCGGUGGUUUAGUCUUGUUAGAGGAACCUGUUUUUGAAUCGAUACACCACGUUAAAAUUUUACUUGUUUUAUUUAGUUUGUAUACCGUCAUUAUCAGAUAAUUUUGAAAAGAUAAAUUAUUGAAAUUUACAAAAUGUAAAUUAAAUUAGAUCAAGGUGCAGCCUAUAAAUAAGCUAAAAUGGGUUACAAUAAAUUUUAUUUAUUAUGGAAUAAUAACAGUAAAUUAAAUUAUGAAGGUGGAUUUAAUUGUAAUUAAAGUUUAAUAAGCUAAAAAGAUAUAAGCUCUAAGCCAU
rnacentral:rRNA from 1 species